UUCGCCGCCAGUCAGCGAGCCGGCAGCUGCCGGUUGUCCUCAGGCCGGGGCGGGAGGAGCAGGAGGGGCUGUGCGCAGCCGGCCGACCCGGCCCGACUUCGCCUGCGACUUCCCGGAACAAUAAGCCCCGGGCCUGAGCACUGUUGGCCCGCCUCGGGCCGAGAGCCACUGUGCCGCGACCCCUCCCUCGGGCCGGCUGUGGCGGCGGGGCUUUGAGGCGUGACCCGCCGCGCCCCGGGGUUAUUUGCCGGCGACGACGGGGGAACAGCCCGAGCCCGCCGAGAGACUAGCCUUCCUGCCCUGUCGCCCUCGAAGACCUGCCCUCCCCAAGGGCCGGAGUCCGCAGCGGCGCCAAGGGCGCCUUCUCCGGGCCUGCGGGCUCUGAGGUCGGCUGGGCCCAGUCCGCCCACCGCCGGGCUGCGUCCUGCCACCCACACCCUCCACCUGGAGCUGUAAGUGCUCUGCCCCCAGCCCAACAUCUAGGAGCUGCGGAUCCUGUCUUCUGCGUGGUUCCUAAGGCCUUGGAGGAAAUGUCCUUUAAGAAAAGGUUAUUAAUCACUUUCCUGCAAAAAUGACAUGGAAACCAAAAUUGGCUGUUACUGUAGUUGCACUUUAACCAUAAAAUCAUGACUACAAACAGAGAACUCAUCUCCUGAGCUUCUUCCCUUCUAGCAGAGGAUCAAACUGCUCAAGAUUAUCUCAGCUUUACAAAAUAAACCAAAGAUCCCAAAGGUUAAGUCACAUGGCUGAGAAGUGGUAAAGCCAGGAUUUGAACUUGGUUAUCUGAUUCAAGACAUUUUGAGACAAAAAGUCUGGAGUUUGCCACCAACAGAGCAUAAUCCCUGAUAUAAGAAAGACUCAUGAGCAAAGAAAUUGGUAAAUAAGUGGUUAAAACUAAGAAAAUAUUUACCGUAGAAAGUAAUAAUAAUAUAUAAUUUGUGUGGUUAAUAAAGUGAAGCAAGAUAAAACUAACAUCCUGGAUAACAAAGUCAUAAUUUGGAAAUGGGAUGGGCAGGGUGAUGAUUGGAUGUGAAGUUUUCCAAGGUCCUUGUAUUGUUUGGGAAGAGGGUAAGAAUAUUGAUUAACUUUAAACUUUACUCUUAAGUAUACAAGUUAAACUAUCUUGGGUAACUACUAAAAGAGUGUAUCAUUUCCAAAUUAAUGGAGGGAGAAAGUCGAUUUUUUUUUUAAAAAGCAAGAUAUGUAGAAAAAGAAGCAAAGAAGUAGUGAAACAAAAAACCAAAAACACAGAAAGAUGUAAAUGGAUAGAAAAAGAUGUCAGGCUACUAUAAAAGUAGAAAGCUGGUAGAGCUAUGUUGACAUCAGACAAAAUAAAAAAUAAAUGGGGACUUCCUAGGUGGCAUAGUGGGUAAGAAUCCGCCUGCCAAUGCAGGGGACAUGGGUUCGAUCCCUGCCCCAGGAAGAUCCCACAUGCUAUGAAGCAACUAAGCCCAUGCACCACAAGUGUUGAGCCUGCGCUCUAGAGUCCGUGAGCCACAACUAUUGAGCCCAUGUGCCACAACUACUGUAACCCACGUGCCUAGAGCCUGUGCUCUGCAACAAGAGAGGCCACUGCAGUGAGAAGCCCGCGCACCACAAUGAAGAGUAGCCCCUGCUCGCCGCAACUAGAGAAAGCCCGUGUGCAGCAAUGAAGACGCAACACAGCCAAUAAAAUAAAUAAAUUUUAAAAAAUAAAUGAAGGUUACUAAUGAUAAAAAGUACAGGGCCCUAGAACUUUGGAAUUCUAAACAUGUAUGCACCUGAUUACAAAUCCUUAAAAUAUGAAAAGCAAAAAUUGACAAAUUCCAAGGAAAAAUGGAUACAUUUACCACUACAGUGGAGAUUUUUUUUUUAAUUUAAUUAAUUUAUUUAUUAUUUUGGGGGGGUACACCAAGUUCAAUCAUCUGUUUUUAUACACAUAUUCCCGUAUUCCCUCCCUCCCUUGACUCCCCCCCCCCUCGAGUCCCCCCCCCCUCCCCGUCCCAGUCCUCUAAGGCAUCUUCCAUCCUCGAGUUGAACUCCCUUUGUUAUACAACUUCCCACUGGCUAUCUACUUUACAGUUGGUAGUAUAUAUAUGUCUGUGCUACUCUCUUGCUUUGUCUCAGCUUCCCCUUCACCCCCCGCCCCCUCCCAAACCUCGAGUUCUCCAGUCCAUUCUCUGCACCUGCAUCCUUGUUCUUGUCACUGAGUUCAUCAAUACCAUUUUUAGAUUCCGUAUAUGUGAGUUAGCAUACAAUAUUUGUCUUUGUCUUUCUGACUUACAUCACUCUGUAUGACAGACUCUAGGUCUAUCCACCUCAUAACAUAUAGCUCCCUCUCAUCCCUUUUUAUAGCUGAGUAAUAUUCCAUUGUAUAUAUAUGCCACAUCUUUUUUAUCCAUUCGUUUGUUGAUGGGCAUUUAGGUUGCUUCCAUGUCCUGGCUAUUGUAAAUAGUGCUGCAAUAAACAUGAUGGUACAUGUUUCUUUUGGGAUUAUGGUUUUCUUUGGGUAUAUGCCCAGUAGUGGGAUUACUGGAUCAUAUGGUAGUUCUAUUUGUAGUUUUUAAGGAACCUCCAAAUUGUAUUCCAUAGUGGCUGUACCAACUUACAAUCCCACCAACAGUGCAGGAGAGUUCCCUUUUCUCCACACCCUCUCCAACAUUUGUUGUUUCCAGAUUUUGUGAUGAUGGCCAUUCUGAUCGGUGUGAGGUGAUACCUCAUUGUGGCUUUGACUUGCAUUUCUCUAAUGAUUAGUGAUGUUGAGCAUCUUUUCAUGUGUUUGUUGGCCAUCUGUAUGUCUUCUUUGGAGAAGUGUCUAUUUAGGUCUUCCGCCCAUUUGUGGAUUGGGUUAUUUGCUUUUUUGGUAUUAAGCUUCAUGAGCUGCUUGUAUAUUUUGGAGGUUAAUCCUUUGUCCGUUGUUUCAUAGGCAAUUAUUUUUUCCCAUUCUGAGGGUUGCCUUUUAGUCUUGUUUAUGGUUUCUUUCACUGUGCAAAAGCUUUUAAGUUUCAUGAGGUCCCAUUUGUUUAUUCUUGAUUUUAUUUCCAUGAUUCUAGGAGGUGGGUCAAAAAGGAUCUUGCUUUGAUGGAUGUCAUAGAGUGUUCUGCCUAUGUUUUCCUCUAGGAGUUUUAUAGUGUCUUAUAGUGGAGAUUUUAACACACCUCAUAAUAAUGGGUAGAUCUUACAGACAAGAAUCAGAAGAUAUGAGCAACAUAAUUAAGAUUGAAUUAACACACAUUUGGUGUUGCACUAUACAAUUAGAGCAUUCACAUCCUUCUAAUGCACAUAUGGAAUAUUUAUGAAAAUUGACCACAUAUAAGUUCAGGUAGUAAUUCUCAACAAAUUUCAAAUGAUUGAUGUUAUGUAGGCCACAUUCUAUGAGCACCAUGCAAUUAAGUUAGAAAUUACAAAAUAAAAUAGCAAAAUUGCAUAAAAUAAAGUAGUAACUAAAGGGAAAAUUAAGAAAUUUAAAUGCUUAUGUUACGGGAAAAGACAAAAUUAACAAAAUUAACAAAUUACAUGUCAAACUUAAGAACUAAAGUAGAAGUAAAGAAAUAAUGAAGAUGAAAAUACAAAAUUAAUGAAAGAAAUAAAAGAUGCAAUGGAGAAGAUGCACAAAGCCAAGAGUUGGUUCUUCUAAAAGACUGUUGACCACUUGAUGCCAGCCCCUGUAUACCAGCUGUUGUACUGUACUACUGUACUUUUCAAGGCACUGUACUGUAAGAUUAAAAAUGUAUUCUUUAAAAAUAAAUUUAAAAAAAAAAAAAAGACUGUUGACUAAUUUCUGGCAAAUUGGGGAAAAAUAUACAAAUAAUGAGAAGUGGAACAAAACUAUAGAAAUUGCAGAGGUCAUAAAAUUAACCAAAAAAUGAACAA